AUUGAACGCUGGCGGCAGGCCUAACAAAUGCAAGUCGAACAGUGGCGGACGGGUGAGUAACGCGUAGGUAACUACCUAUUAGAGGGGGAUAACUAUUGGAAACGAUAGCUAAUACCGCAUACUAGUAAAUGGACCUGCGUUGUAUUAGCUAGUAGGUAGGGUAAUGGCCUAACUAGGCAACGAUACAUAGCCGACCUUAGAGGGUGAUCGGCCACACUGUGACUUGGACACGGCCCAGGCUCCGACGGGAGGAAGCAGGAGGGAAUCUUCGGCAAUGGGGGGAACCCUGACCGAGCAACGCCGCGGGAGUGAAGAAGGUGUUCGGAUCGUAAAGCUCUGUUGUUAAGGAAGCGGUACUUAACCAGAAAGGGACGGCUAACUACGUGCCAGCAGCCGCGGUAAUAC
rnacentral:rRNA from 1 species